rnacentral:misc_RNA from 1 species
UCCGGGUUGGACCCGGCGGUCCCGCCAGACAUGGUAACUGGCAGCGAGGGUUGCGCUCGUUGCGGGACUUAACCCAACACCUCACAGCACGAGCUGACGACAGCCAUGCAGCAUCUGUGCGCGCUCCCUUGCGGGUCCUCCCCCUUUCGAGGUCGUACCACGCGCAUGUCAAGCCCAGGUAAGGUUCUUCGCGUUGCGUCGAAUUAAACCACACGCUCCGCUGCUUGUGCGGGCCCCCGUCAAUUCCUUUGAGUUUUAGCCUUGCGGCCGUAGUCCCCAGGCGGAGCACUUAUCGCGUUGGCUGCGGCACCGAGGGGGUCGAUACCCCGCAAACCUAGCAUCCAUCGUUUAGGGCGUGGACUAC